UCUACUGUCUCCUCACCCUGAGCUGUCAUGUUUCCUGGAAUUCAAUCUGCUGGGUGUGCCCACCACACACACAAGCCCCAGAUGAAGAUGGAGUUGGAAAGGAGCCCCUGGCAAGAGCAAAAGAGUUCCCCUUCUGGGGAGAGCUUCUCCUUGUGCCCAAGUUCUUGCUUCAGUAGGAGGAAGAUGCAGUCUUUUUGACACCCACCAUGACCUGGUUUUCUGGAUUGUCAAGUUACAUGUGCUACAUGACACCAACCAGACUUUCCUGGGCAGAUGACCUCACCAAUGUGUCUCUAGAGCUCUUCACCAGUAGGGACAAAUAAAAACAAGCUGGGAGUAUGGAUUGACCUGUCAAUGCCCAUGUCCAUUGGAGAAGCAACUAUAGAAGUCAGACCUUCCACCUCCUACACCCCAUAAUGAUCCUGUGUCCAUGCUCCCAUAGAGAUAAAUAAUAGGGAAACUUCCAAUGGAGUGGAUGGGAUACAGAACUCUGGUAGUGGUAAUUAUAUGGAAUUGUACCCUUCUUAUCCUACAAUCUUGUCAGUCAUGAUUAAAUCAAAGAAGAAAAAAGGAGGAGGAGG